rnacentral:lncRNA from 1 species
CAGACUAACUGCACCACAGAGACAGAGCAGAUGAAGAGGAUAAAUAAGCAAUACUGUUUUUUGUACAAAGAAAAGCUCAAAGGUCAUUUGUUUAAUAAUCAGCAAUCAUCUCAUUUGCUCGAUAUUUCACAUUUUUUUCUAGCUUUAAAGUUGUCUUUUAUUAUUUAGCCUUGCUCUGUUAUGCUUUUUCAGCAGUUGGUGUCCAUGGCCAAUAGGGGGGGCUGGUAUGAGGGCAGAGUGUUUACGUGCCAUUACUCACAUUUUGUAUUUAAUUAAUUCAAAUAUUCUGCUGUAAACUGAGUAAGAAAAAAAAACGUAGCUGUUUUACUGGUGAACCCGCGUGUUCAACAUUCUUUUGAACGCAGCUUGUUUCUCUCAUGUUCGCUUUAAUAGAGUCGUGACGACACUUAUAAAACACAGGCCUCCUCUUUGAAGGUGAGCUUCUUCCGUUCAGGAGCCCACUGCGUAAAAGAAUAGAAGCAUCAGCAGACUCUCGUGCAUGUGAUCGGCUGACGCGCGCAGACAGCGAGCGCUAGGCUGAGAGCAGUGGAUUAACGUAAUUUUGGAGAGGAGGGGUCGCUGUCACUCUGGGAUUUGUGAAGGGAUAUCUAUGUUUCUGCCGCUAAUCUCUCACUGUCAUGUUACAAGGGAAGAUUUUCUUCCUUCUUGGGCCAUUUAGGGACAAAGAAGGACACAUUGACUCCUCUGUCAGCAGCAGAGGUCAAGCUGGAAUAUGUCGACGCGCCCACGCUGCGUUCAAGGACACGGCUGCUAUAGGAAUUUAUACCCCCGGCCGGCCGCUCGCUUCCCGCGGCUCCACGGCAAUCGCUCACACGUGGAUCGAUGGCACGCGACGAUCAAUUGAUCGCAGCCUCGAGGUGUUCACGGGGAGUUCAGAGGCCUAUGACAGAAUAAACAACGAGCGCUGGAACAAUAGCCGGCCUGUGCUGCACCCAACAGAAAAGCUUCAUUCAGUACUUUCAAAACGCUAAAGGCAGGCUUUUGGUCUGUCCUUUACUCCGACCAUAACCUCAUCAGGCUGAAUAAUUGUUGCACUGUGAAGAGAAGAUUACCUGGAGGUGAAAAAUGUCCUUCCUCGCCCUGUGCUCUCAUUUCACUUCCUCUCUGUAAAAGACUGUUGCAACUAAUGAGACAAGACUAAAACGUUAACUUUUCUUUUUGAUUAUCUCACAGCCGAGAGGUCUCCUUUUUUCUUAACUAUCUAAAG